rnacentral:ribozyme from 1 species
AAAUUGAAUAAUUAAAGAAAGAAUUGGCCACGAUCGAAAGUUCAUUCUUAAAUCACUCUUCGUUUUUUUUUUUGUUUUUUCCUUUUUUUUUUUCC